UACGUAGGGCGCGAGCGUUGUCCGGAAUUAUUGGGCGUAAAGAGCUCGUAGGCGGCCUGUCGCGUCGGUUGUGAAAGCCCGGGGCUCAACCCCGGGUCUGCAGUCGAUACGGGCAGGCUAGAGUUCGGUAGGGGAGAUCGGAAUUCCCGGUGUAGCGGUGAAAUGCGCAGAUAUCAGGAGGAACACCGGUGGCGAAGGCGGAUCUCUGGGCCGAUACUGACGCUGAGGAGCGAAAGCGUGGGGAGCGAACAGG
rnacentral:rRNA from 1 species